GUUUUAAUAAUUUAAAAAAAAUAAUGAUUUUGUAAAUCAUAAUUGAAUAUAUUUCUUAAAACU
rnacentral:tRNA from 1 species